rnacentral:rRNA from 1 species
CGCGUAGGCGGCCCGAUAAGUCCGCUGUGAAAGUCAACGGCUCAACUGUUGAAUGCCGGUGGAUACUGUCGGGCUAGAGUCCGGAAGAGGCAAGUGGAAUUCCUGGUGUAGCGGUGGAAUGCGCAGAUAUCAGGAGGAACACCUAUAGCGAAGGCAGCUUGCUGGGACGGUACUGACGCUAAGGCGCGAAAGCGUGGGGAGCGAACA